UUUCUCUGGGCAAGAAAGGUAUGAAAAAGCAGAAGAAACGGUCGUCUACUGAGAAGGAAAGGAACAGAAAGACUGGAAGGUCAAAAAUCACAACUAAAGACAAUGUUUUCUUUUUCUUCCAGAGUUCUGUAAGCUCAUCAGCCAGCCUAGUCAUCCAGCCCUAUGACAUCGUCCUCCGGGCUAUCUCAGGCAUCUCUCUCUCCUUUACGACAGCCAGGUGCUUACUCACAGCUGUCAUCCUCUCAGCUAGAUCCCAAGAUGUCUCAGCGCCUGGGUCCUGCUUCUCAUUUAUCCCCUAGUCUGUUGUUUCUCACGUCACUCUUACGACCAGAAAAAGAGAUCGCCUCUCUGGAGUCUCUCCAAUCAAGGCUCUGCCCAAGCUUCACCUCUACAAAAUAUUGCCAAGCAUGUACGGACGUCAUACCAAAAUCAAAAUAAUGAAAAGGAGGAAUGCGCCAAAAAGGAGAAGCAACUAUUUGCUGCUGCCUGCUUUGGGAUUCCAGAGUUGGACAAAUCCUAUAACAUUCUACAAAAGUGCCCAUAAGAUAAUUAACAUUGUAAGAGAGGCUAAUACCGAUCACUCCAGAAAUAAUUUUAGUUUUAGGAAAAGAGUCCAUCAUCCGUCCACUAUUGAAGAUGUUAAUUUCAGUGACGUAUCACUGAACUGUGACAUCUUCUUAAAUCCAGAAACAGCACUGGACACAAAGUCAGUAAAGCAGUGCUGUCCAAUAACAUAUAAUAUGUCACACAUGUAGUUUUAAAUUCUAUAGCCACAUUAAAAUAUGUAAAAAGAAACAAGUAAAAAUAAUUUUAACAACAUGUUUUCUAUAACCCAGGAUCCUGAGACUACGACCAUUUCAAUGCACAAUUCAUAUAAUAAAUUAUGGAAGAGAGAUUCUACUUUGAUUACUAUUGUCUUCACAACCUGGCGUGUGUUUUACAGGAGCCACAAGCAGCAAGGGGCAGCCUUUUUGGAGAGCACAGCACCGAAGGCUGAGUCUGAAAUGGCAGAAUAAAUUUACCCUUCCUGUCUUAUUUUCUUCCAAUCCCAAAAAUACACAUUAUAGCCAAUGGUUCUCAAAAUUCUUUACCACUGUGUCACUUUUUUAGGAAAAGUGUCCUCUGUGCGCUGUAUAUAGGCAGUUAAGCUAGAUGGUCUGAAUUUAAAUCCCACCUCCACCCCUUCCUGGUUAAGUGACCAAAUGUGGACAAAUCAUGAAACCUUUUAACCCCCUGUCUCAACUAUAAGACAGUGUGGUAAGAGAGCCCCGUACAGGUUUUCUUUUUGCUUUUUAUAUUUUUUCAAAAUAAAUGGAUAGAUACAUGUAAAGUGCUUGUGACAAUGUUGGCCAAUGGUGUGGAAUGGCAAUAUUAUUUAUUUAAGUGUUAGCUGUCAACACUACUUUGUAUAAUUGUCUAGACAUGAUGGUGGUGAGUAAAUAUUGUUGACUGGAAGACCACUAACUCUCAAUUAAUAUAAAAAGCCGGACCUGAGAAUAAGUUUCUCAAGGGAACUGGAAUUAGAAUUAAUCAGAAUUAGAAUUAGAAUUAGAAUUAGAAUUAGAAUUAGAAUUAGAAUUAGAAUUAGAAUUAGAACCUGAACUAGAACUAGAACUAGAACUAGAACUAGAACUAGAACUAGAACUAGAACUAGAACUAGAACUAGAACUAGAACUAGAAGUGUUGCCUUCAUGCAUUCAGCCACAUCCAUGCAGGUACCCGACAAGCAGUAAACAAGACAGUCGCUGCCAUCAGGGAACGACCGCUUCAGUGGGCUGCCCCUACAGAGCUGCCUUGUUUGCAUCUAUCAUUAGAAUGACUGUGUCCACAAGUAUCAGAGAAUCCCAAUCAAGUUGACUUGAAAAAUACAGAAAUCGAAAAACAGGAUCCACGCCAGCAUCGUGUCAUCAGAGUUCCUGUGUGACUCAGCACCUCCUUCCACUCAGUCCUCUACACUUCAGCUUUGUCAACCAUCGUCAGCAAACAGGGUUGCCACCGGCAAGUGGAGCAGUGGAGACAAAAAGAUUCCCCCUCCAACCGCAGGGAAAGACGUCUCUCUCUGAAGUCUCGUUGGAGCAACAUGUAGAGGUCCAGAGAGAUCACGCACUGUUGAAUUAAGCCUGCGUUUCUGGAAGACUGUUGGCCAAGGGCACGGAAUCACACUAAUGCCAGUCUCUGUUAGUCCGGGGGUGCGAUCAUGGCUAGCUUUGGGCUACUUACUGAAGGAAAUGAGGGUUUUGUGAAUGAGGAGGAAGUGGGACUGUGUGGGCAAGGAACACGGUCUAUCACACAGUGUUAAAAGGGAACUUGUGCUUGUGUAAUUGUUCUAAAGUCACUGAAGAGGCAGCCCAUGACUCA